rnacentral:rRNA from 1 species
CCCUUAGAUGUUCUGGGCCGCACGCGCGCUACACUGAUGCAUUCAACGAGUCUAAAACCUGCUCUGAUAGGGGUGGGUAAUCUUUUGAAUGUGCAUCGUGAUUGGGAUAGAUGAUUGCAAUUUUUCAUCUUCAACGAGGAAUGCCUAGUAAACGCAAGUCAUCAGCUUGCAUUGAUUACGUCCCUGCCCUUUGUACACACCGCCCGUCGCUCCUACCGAUUGAAUGAUCCGAUGAAUAUCAUGGAUUGAGGAUUAUAGCAGGUUCGCCUGUCUUGAUCUUCGAGAAGUGAAGUAAAUCUUAUCAUUUAGAGGAAGGAGAAGUCGUAGCA